CCUACGGGAGGCUGCAGUGAGGAAUAUUGGUCAAUGGGCGGGAGCCUGAACCAGCCAAGUCGCGUGAGGGACGACGGUCCUAUGGAUUGUAAACCUCUUUUGUCGGGGAACAAAGGCGCCCACGGGUGGGCGGAUGAGUGUACCCGAAGAAUAAGCUCCGGCUAACUACGUGCCAGCAGCCGCGGUAAUACGUAGGGAGCGAGCGUUGUCCGGAUUUACUGGGUGUAAAGGGCGUGCAGCCGGGAGUACAAGUCAGAUGUGAAAUCCCGCGGCUCAACCGCGGAACUGCAUUUGAAACUGUAGGUCUGGAGUACUGGAGAGGCAGACGGAAUUCCUAGUGUAGCGGUGAAAUGCGUAGAUAUUAGGAGGAACACCAGUGGCGAAGGCGGUCUGCUGGACAGCAACUGACGGUGAGGCGCGAAAGCGUGGGGAGCAAACAGGAUUAGAUACCCGAGUAGUC
rnacentral:rRNA from 1 species